rnacentral:rRNA from 1 species
UGCGUAGGGUGCAAGCGUUAAUCGGAAUUACUGGGCGUAAAGCGUGCGCAGGCGGUUUUGUAAGUCAGAUGUGAAAUCCCCGGGCUUAACCUGGGAACUGCGUUUGAAACUACAAGGCUAGAGUGUGGCAGAGGGGGGUGGAAUUCCACGUGUAGCAGUGAAAUGCGUAGAGAUGUGGAGGAACACCGAUGGCGAAGGCGGCCCCCUGGGUCAAGACUGACGCUCAUGCACGAAAGCGUGGGGAGCAAACAGG